CGGAGGAAAAGAAACCAACAGGGAUUGCCCUAGUAACGGCGAGUGAAGCGGCAACAGCUCAAAUUUGAAAUCUGGCCUUCGGGUCCGAGUUGUAAUUUGUAGAGGAUGCUUUUGGUGCGGUGCCUUCCGAGUUCCCUGGAACGGGACGCCAUAGAGGGUGAGAGCCCCGUCUGGUUGGAUACCAAUCCUCUGUAAAGCUCCUUCGACGAGUCGAGUAGUUUGGGAAUGCUGCUCUAAAUGGGAGGUAUAUGUCUUCUAAAGCUAAAUACCGGCCAGAGACCGAUAGCGCACAAGUAGAGUGAUCGAAAGAUGAAAAGCACUUUGAAAAGAGGGUUAAACAGUACGUGAAAUUGUUGAAAGGGAAGCGCUUGUGACCAGACUUGGGCAUGGUUAAUCAUCCAGCGUUCUCGCUGGUGCACUUGGCCUGCCCAGGCCAGCAUCAGUUCGGUGCGGGGGAUAAAGGCUUCGGGAAUGUGGCUCCUCCGGGAGUGUUAUAGCCCGUUGUGCAAUACCCUGCGCUGGACUGAGGUUCGCGCAUCUGCAUGGAUGCUGGCGUAAUGGUCAUCAGCGACCCGUCUUGAAACACGGACCAAGGAGUCGUCCUCGUAUGCGAGUGUUCGGGUGUUAAACCCCUACGCGUAAUGAAAGUGAACGCAGGUGAGAGCUUCGGCGCAUCAUCGACCGAUCCUGAUGUUCUCGGAUGGAUUUGAGUAAGAGCAUACGGGGCCGGACCCGAAAGAAGGUGAACUAUGCCUGUAUAGGGUGAAGCCAGAGGAAACUCUGGUGGAGGCUCGCAGCGGUUCUGACGUGCAAAUCGAUCGUC
rnacentral:rRNA from 1 species